rnacentral:rRNA from 1 species
UACAGAGGGGGCAAGCGUUGUUCGGAAUUACUGGGCGUAAAGGGCGCGUAGGCGGCCUUCUAAGUCGAACGUGAAAUCCCCGGGCUCAACCCGGGAACUGCGUCCGAUACUGGAAGGCUUGAAUCCGGGAGAGGGAUGCGGAAUUCCAGGUGUAGCGGUGAAAUGCGUAGAUAUCUGGAGGAACACCGGUGGCGAAGGCGGCGUCCUGGACCAACACUGACACUGAGGAGCGAAAGCCAGGGGAGCAAACGGG